CAUCAACGUAAUACAGAGGACAACUGACUCGUGCAACAUGGCGUGCUGUAGGAUGCUCUCGUCUGGUACCCCCUUCUAGUAUACAUAGACAAUAGGUAUGUACUGGUGUAACGAUGACAUCUGAUUGGCUAAUUUACCAACCAAUAAGGGACGAGGCAAUUAAAAUAAAAUGACAUACAAUAGCUACAACUUUAAAUUUUAUGAUAUCACAAAAAAAUAGUUUGUUUCUACCGCAAAUUAUAAUUGUUACUUCUCCGCCAUGUUUGUUUUGACUGCAACUCGUCUGUCAAUGGUUAGCUUAUCAGCCAAUCAGAUGCCUUCGUUCUGCCAGUAGAUACCUGUUGUCUUGUGUACACUAUAGGGGGGUACCAGUGUAGGAUGCUCUUUGCUCACACAGAAAUUCGGAACAACUCACAGAAGGAACUUGUCCAACAUAGUGAAUGGCUGAGACUGGUCAGACUAGGUCAGACCAAGGCGGGAUUCUCAAAAGUUAUCAUGUUAUUUUUUUUUUCCUCGUAAAUGGUGAUGGAGAAAUACUGGUUCAUUUAAGCAACGAUACAAAGAUGGUCUCUCUUAAGGUUCGUAAGUCGAUUUUCCCUCUUAACCUUUCAUUAUGAUACAAGGGAAGAUUCUCAAAGGUUCGUAAGUCGAUUUUCUUUUUCUCUUAACUGGUUGUGGUAAAGUAUAGGAUCACAGUUAAUUGGGUCAUUAAGAACAACAUAUGUAUUCACUGCUAAAAAAUGGCGUCUGAACUGAAUUGAGACUGUAUAGUAGACAGGGAGAACAAAUAAGGCGAGCUUGUUGAACCUUUGAGAACCUGGGGCCGUGUGUGUGUGUCACCAGGAGCUGUGGUAGUCCUGGCUCUCACGUUCACACACACACACACACACUGUAAAUGUCUGGCCCGCAUGAGUGUCUCCACCUAGCCACUCACUCUCAAUACCUCCCCUGUAUUUCAAAGCUAAACACUUAUCCUGUAACUCAAGUCUUAUUUCUUGUCGUAACUCAGAGAUAAAUACGUUCUCCGUAACUGGGAGCCUUAUUUCUUGUCGUAACUCAGAGAUAAAUACGUUCUCCGUAACUGGGAGCCUUAUUUCUUGUCGUAACUCAGAGAUAAAUACGUUCUCCGUAACUCGGAGCCUUAUUUCAUGUCGUAACUCAAAGCUCAAGACCAUUCUUUUAAGUCAGAGGCUAACAAUCGUGACGUAAGUAACUUAAAUAGAACAGUGUAGUUAUAGCGUCUACAGCAGGUAUUAUGCAUAGGACGAGGCAAAACACACACACACACACACACACACACACACGAUCAUUUCGAAACAAGUUAUUAUUAGGACAAGGCUUCUUUGGUUAGGUUGGCGUGGGAGAGGUUAGGUUGGGUUAGGUUGGGUUGGGUUGGGUUAGGUUAGGUUAGGUUAGGUUAAAUUGAGUAUGGUUGGGUUAGGUUAGGUUAAAUUGAGUAUGGUUGGGUUAGGUUAGGUUAAAUUGCGUAUGGUUGGGUUAGGUUAGGUUUUAGCUUUGUCCCAUAUAAUAAUCAUCACGUGUAUACACCUUAACAACAACACGAUCUCACCACAUUACAACCUCACCUUCAACAACAACACCUCUUUAUAACACACCACAACCUUGUACGGCUCCUGUGUGAAUUGGAUAAACACGACAGAGUAUUAAAUAACACGUGGAACAGAACGAGAGAGUAAAGAAACGGGGGAAAAAAACGAAAUAGUGGAAAAAGCGGAAAUAACGAAAAAAAAAAACCCGGAAAAACGGAAGAAAAAAAGAUCUUUCGAUUUGGUGGCAAGAGAUCUCGGGACACUACACAAUAGCCAUCCCUGUCAGAGGAAAAUAGUAUUAUCGACAAGAGGAAAGAAGAGAGAGGAGGUGUGUUGGGGUGUGUUCCGGGCAGAUCUUCCUGAUAUCAAGUUUAUUUCCACUAUGAAGAGAGCAGGGAGGAGUGUGUGUGUGUGUGUGUGUGUGUGUGUGUGUGUGUGUGUG
rnacentral:lncRNA from 1 species